UACGGAGGGGGCGAGCGUUAUUCGGAAUUAUUGGGCGUAAAGGGCGCGUAGGCGGCCUUGUAAGUCAAAGGUGAAAUCCCUCGGCUCAACUGAGGAACUGCCUUUGAAACUGCAAGGCUUGAGGCCGGGAGGGGGUAGCGGAAUUCCCAAUGUAGCGGUGAAAUGCGUAGAUAUUGGGAGGAACACCAGUGGCGAAGGCGGCUACCUGGACCGGUUCUGACGCUGAGGCGCGAAAGCCAGGGGAGCGAACGGG
rnacentral:rRNA from 1 species